rnacentral:ncRNA from 1 species
AACUCCCGACCCGGUAAACCCCAGCGAGGAGCCGGUAUCCAGCCUUGGAGCCGGAGCCGUGAGGUCAGGUUUAAGCGUAGGCAGGAAAGAUUCAGAGCCCUAAAAUGAAAGCUUGAAUCAAUUUAGCGUCGUUAGUACUGACAAAGCGAUGGGCGAUACUCUCAUAUAAGUCGCAGCCAGCAUAAGUCGUUCGUUAGCGCGAGAGCGGCAAGGCAUCGCCGGCGUUUGAA